UGUGGGCAGUGUUUACUUCAUGUCUGCUUUGCUGGCGGGCCAAGUAGCAACAGCUGCAGUCGGCGUGUUCUCUGAAGCGAGAAAGAAGAAAUUCCGUGGAUAGGGAGCCAGCCAGGUUUCCUGCAGAGAUUCACGGGAAGCUUUUGAGCAGGGGAGUCAGAAGAUGAGCGGGCUCUGGGAUGUCUUGGUCUUACUGUUUCCCUGCCAAACCCGGUGCCAUCUCGUCAUGAUCACCCACUGGAGAAGAGAGGAGAUUCUCACAGUAGACGAGGAGCCUGUUUUUCAGCUAGCUGCUGCAAGGAGCUGGACAUUUCUCCCUUCAAAUAGGACCUGGAAGGCCUGGAAGCAUCUGGAGAAGGGCAUGGCUGUGAGUAGAGAAACAGAGGAUACAGGCUAAAGCAGGAGGAAGCG
rnacentral:lncRNA from 10 species